rnacentral:rRNA from 1 species
UACGUAGGUACCGAGCGUUAUCCGGAUUUACUGGGCGUAAAGCGCGUUCAGGCGGUAUGGCAAGUCGGGCAUGAAAUCGCUCGGCUCAACCGGGCGAGGUUGUCCGAUACUGCCAGACUGGAGGGCAGUAGAGGGUGGUGGAAUUCCGGGUGUAGUGGUGAAAUGCGUAGAGAUCCGGAGGAACACCAGUGGCGCAAGCGGCCACCUGGACUGUACCUGACGCUGAAACGCGAAAGCUAGGGGAGCGAACGGG